UCCAAAAUAAGUUUUCAUUAUUCAUCUUCAACGUUUGACCGUUCAUCUUAUUUGAAAAAAAUAGUACUUUAUGUGUGACUUUAUGUGUGACUAAUUUUUUUAAAACUUUUCAUAAAUUUUUCAAAUAAGACGGACGGUCAAACGUUGGACACGGAUUUCGACGACUGCACUUAUU
rfam:Oryza nivara chromosome 9, whole genome shotgun sequence.